rnacentral:rRNA from 1 species
CAUGACUCUAUGCGGUGGAUCACUCGGCUCUCGGUUCGAUGAAGAACGCAGCCAGCUGCGAUACUUGGUGUGAAUUGCAGGACACACUGAGCACUGAUUCUUUGAACGCACAUUGCGCCCUUGGGUUCUGCCCUUGGGUUCGUCUGUCUGAGGGUCGGAUCAUAUAUCAAGCGAGGUGCGCCUUGUCGCACGCUCGUCCUGACCGUAUCGGAAGCACGCAGUCUAUGCCGCGAACUGUUGCUGCCUGUCGGUGGAAAGAGAGAGAGAGAAACACGGUCGCGGAUAGGGAGCGCUAUCUCUCGACGAGGAGCGUGGCCCCCGUGCCCGGCCCCAGAGAAGCACGUCGUUGCACGUCGCAACCCGCCGGGUUCGAUAGCACGACUUUGGGGUUACUGAGCUGGCGAGAUAUGGAAGAAGGCAAUUGCCUCGUGCCCUGUCCCGAAGUAUCACGUCGUGCACGUCACCGCGAGUAGCGAUAGCACGACUCGGGGCUUUUGAUUCACGGGCCGAGGAGGCAGCCGCACUCGUACGUCGAUGGGGGAAAAACAAAAGCAGUCUCUUGCCCUGUCCCAGAGUAUCACGUCGUGCACGUCACCACGAGUCGAUAGCACGACUUGGGGCUUUGUAUCACGGGCCGAGACAGCACUACUCCUCCUACGGCGAGCGACGAGGAAGGCGAGAAAGAAAUUGCCCUGUCCCAGAGUAUCACGUCGUGCACGUCACCGCGAGUUGAUAGCACGACUUGGGGCUUCCGUAUCACACGAGCUAUGGCAGCCGCACUCGUACGUCGAUAGGAAGCGAUUGUCUCGUGCCCUGUCCCAGAAUAUCACGUCGUGCACGUCACCACGAGUCGAUAGCACGACUUGGGGCUUUUAUAUCACGGGCCGAGACCGCACUACUACGACGACGAGGAAAGAAAUUGCCUCGUGCCCUGUCCCAGAGUAUCACGUCGUGCAUGUCACCACGAGUUGAUAGCACGACUUGGGGCUUUUGUAUCACGGGCCGAGACAGUAGCGGCACUCCUACGACGACGAGUGGGGAAAGAAAGCAAAUGCACUCGUGCCCUGUCCCAGAGUAUCACGUCGUGCACGUCACCACGAGUGGAUAGCACGACUUGGGGCUUUUAUCACGGGCCGAGCCAGCUUUUUUUUCCUCCUCCGACUGUAGGAGGAGCCAAACGAAACCACCGAGCAACGGCAGGCGAAGUAGUCGGCACCGAAACACGUGCGUUAGGCACGCUCGGAACCACCGGAUGCGCUCAUCACGCGGCGAAAACGCGUCACGAAGGGCUCGCUCGACGGCCGUACGUGACGUCUCGCUGCUGCGCAUCGGAACCGAGCACGCUUCGCACUCGUACGUUACCGCGCGCGCGGCAAAAAAAAAGCUCGGUAGAGAGCGAGCCUCUCCCGUGCUGCUGCCGCUGCGCGCGUGCGUACGCAGACAAAAACACAGCGUGACCGUCGGUUCAAGUGCUUCGUGCGCUGCACUGCCGAACGCGCGCCGAAAACGGGCGCGCGAGGAUGUAAAGAGAGAGAGAGGAGCGUGUUGCGUCGUGUGUGCUAGAGACCGCGCGGCGGUGGGUGACGAAGGGUUCGGGCGAUGCUCGACCUGGAGCCGCCGCCGACGCGGAUCUCUCUCCCCUUGUUGGCCGACAUCGCGCGGCGGAGGGUGACGAAGGGUUGGGACACGAUCCCUCCUGGAGCCACCG